rnacentral:rRNA from 1 species
CAUGCAAGUCGAGCGAACAGAUAAGGAGCUUGCUCCUUUGACGUUAGCGGCGGACGGGUGAGUAACACGUGGGUAACCUACCUAUAAGACUGGGAUAACUUCGGGAAACCGGAGCUAAUACCGGAUAACAUUUGGAACCGCAUGGUUCUAAAGUGAAAGAUGGUUUUGCUAUCACUUAUAGAUGGACCCGCGCCGUAUUAGCUAGUUGGUAAGGUAACGGCUUACCAAGGCGACGAUACGUAGCCGACCUGAGAGGGUGAUCGGCCACACUGGAACUGAGACACGGUCCAGACUCCUACGGGAGGCAGCAGUAGGGAAUCUUCCGCAAUGGGCGAAAGCCUGACGGAGCAACGCCGCGUGAGUGAUGAAGGGUUUCGGCUCGUAAAACUCUGUUAUUAGGGAAGAACAAACGUGUAAGUAACUGUGCACGUCUUGACGGUACCUAAUCAGAAAGCCACGGCUAACUACGUGCCAGCAGCCGCGGUAAUACGUAGGUGGCAAGCGUUAUCCGGAAUUAUUGGGCGUAAAGCGCGCGUAGGCGGUUUCUUAAGUCUGAUGUGAAAGCCCACGGCUCAACCGUGGAGGGUCAUUGGAAACUGGGAAACUUGAGUGCAGAAGAGGAAAGUGGAAUUCCAUGUGUAGCGGUGAAAUGCGCAGAGAUAUGGAGGAACACCAGUGGCGAAGGCGACUUUCUGGUCUGUAACUGACGCUGAUGUGCGAAAGCGUGGGGAUCAAACAGGAUUAGAUACCCUGGUAGUCCACGCCGUAAACGAUGAGUGCUAAGUGUUAGGGGGUUUCCGCCCCUUAGUGCUGCAGCUAACGCAUUAAGCACUCCGCCUGGGGAGUACGACCGCAAGGUUGAAACUCAAAGGAAUUGACGGGGACCCGCACAAGCGGUGGAGCAUGUGGUUUAAUUCGAAGCAACGCGAAGAACCUUACCAAAUCUUGACAUCCUUUGAAAACUCUAGAGAUAGAGCCUUCCCCUUCGGGGGACAAAGUGACAGGUGGUGCAUGGUUGUCGUCAGCUCGUGUCGUGAGAUGUUGGGUUAAGUCCCGCAACGAGCGCAACCCUUAAGCUUAGUUGCCAUCAUUAAGUUGGGCACUCUAGGUUGACUGCCGGUGACAAACCGGAGGAAGGUGGGGAUGACGUCAAAUCAUCAUGCCCCUUAUGAUUUGGGCUACACACGUGCUACAAUGGACAAUACAAAGGGCAGCUAAACCGCGAGGUCAUGCAAAUCCCAUAAAGUUGUUCUCAGUUCGGAUUGUAGUCUGCAACUCGACUACAUGAAGCUGGAAUCGCUAGUAAUCGUAGAUCAGCAUGCUACGGUGAAUACGUUCCCGGGUCUUGUACACACCGCCCGUCACACCACGAGAGUUUGUAACACCCGAAGCCGGUGGAGUAACCAUUUAUGGAGCUAGCCGUCGAA